UACGUAGGGACCAAGCGUUGUUCGGAUUUACUGGGCGGAAAGGGCGCGUAGGCGGCGUGUUAAGUCAGCUGUGAAAUCUCCAAGCUUAACUUGGAACGGUCAGCUGAUACUGAUGUGCUAGAGUGCAGAAGGGGCAAUCGGAAUUCUUGGUGUAGCGGUGAAAUGCGUAGAUAUCAAGAGGAACACCUGAGGUGAAGACGGGUUGCUGGGCUGACACUGACGCUGAGGCGCGCAAGCUAGGGUAGCAAACGGG
rnacentral:rRNA from 1 species